rnacentral:lncRNA from 1 species
CUAGUCAAGAUUUAUCUUUAUUUGUCAAAUUUUUCUUGGCCUAAUUGAAUAUCUCUUCCUUUUGAUUUUAACUUUCCACUAUCCUUUACAAGAUCGACAACUAGAGACCCCUACUUCUCUAUCAACAUUUCUGGUAACAUUAACAUCUGUCCUCUAUAAGAUCGAUGACUAGAGCACCCUUACUUCUCUAACAGCAUUGCUGAUAAUAUUAACAUCUGCUCCUAUAGCACUGCCAUCUUUUUUUAUCAAGAGAUCAGUUGAUAAAGGUCAUCCUAAAGGACUUGAACUCCAAAUCCACCAGCAGUCUCAACAUCC